UACGUAGGGCGCAAGCGUUGUCCGGAAUUAUUGGGCGUAAAGAGCUCGUAGGCGGCCUGUUACGUCUGCUGUGAAAUCCCGGGGCUUAACCCCGGGCGUGCAGUGGAUACGGGCAGGCUGGAGGCAGGCAGGGGAGAACGGAAUUCCCGGUGUAGCGGUGAAAUGCGCAGAUAUCGGGAGGAACACCGGUGGCGAAGGCGGCUCUCUAGUACGGUACUGACGCUGAGACGCGAAAGCGUGGGGAGCGAACAGG
rnacentral:rRNA from 1 species